AGAGUUUGAUCCUGGCUCAGGAUGAACGCUAGCGGGAGGCUUAACACAUGCAAGUCGAGGGGCAGCACGAUGUAGCAAUACGUUGGUGGCGACCGGCGCACGGGUGAGUAACACGUAUGCAACCUACCCUGUACAGGGGGAUAACCCGGAGAAAUUCGGACUAAUAUCCCAUAAAGAUAUGAAGAGGCAUCUUUUUAUAUUUAAAGCUCAGGCGGUACGGGAUGGGCAUGCGGAACAUUAGCUAGUUGGUAGGGUAACGGCCUACCAAGGCCGCGAUGUUUAGGGGACCUGAGAGGGUGAACCCCCACACUGGUACUGAGACACGGACCAGACUCCUACGGGAGGCAGCAGUGAGGAAUAUUGGUCAAUGGGCGAAAGCCUGAACCAGCCAUGCCGCGUGCAGGAAGACUGCCCUAUGGGUUGUAAACUGCUUUUAUACAGGAAGAAAUACUCGGACGUGUCCGAGCUUGACGGUACUGUAUGAAUAAGCACCGGCUAACUCCGUGCCAGCAGCCGCGGUAAUACGGAGGGUGCAAGCGUUAUCCGGAAUCAUUGGGUUUAAAGGGUCCGUAGGCGGAUUAAUAAGUCAGAGGUGAAAUCCCACAGCUUAACUGUGGAACUGCCUUUGAUACUGUUAGUCUUGAGUUAUAUGGAAGUAGAUAGAAUGUGUAGUGUAGCGGUGAAAUGCAUAGAUAUUACACAGAAUACCGAUUGCGAAGGCAGUCUACUACGUAUAUACUGACGCUAAUGGACGAAAGCGUGGGGAGCGAACAGGAUUAGAUACCCUGGUAGUCCACGCCGUAAACGAUGGACACUAGUUGUUGGAGAAAUUCAGUGACUAAGCGAAGUGAUAAGUGUCCCACCUGGGGAGUACGAUCGCAGAUUGAACUCAAGGAUUGACGG
rnacentral:rRNA from 1 species